rnacentral:rRNA from 1 species
UGCCAGCCGCCGCGGUAAUACGAAGGGCCCGAGCGUUGCGCGGAAUCACUGGGCUUAAAGCGUACGUAGGCGGACUUAUAGGCAUCUUGUGAAAUCCCACGGCUCAACCGUGGAACUGCUCGAUGAACCAUAAGUCUUGAGGCAGGUAGGGGUUGUCGGAACGAUAGGUGGAGUGGUGAAAUGCGUUGAUAUCUAUCGGAACACCGAAGGAGAAAUCAGGCAACUGGGCCUGUCCUGACGCUGAGGUACGAAAGCGUGGGUAGCGAACGGGAUUAGAUA